rnacentral:piRNA from 1 species
UCCGAGGUGCUAUAUAGCUUUUGCUAAUGGU